UACGUAGGGCGCAAGCGUUUGUCCGGAAUUAUUGGGCGUAAAGAGCUCGUAGGCGGCUUGUCACGUCGAUUGUGAAAGCUCGGGGCUUAACUCCGAGUCUGCAGUUGAUACGGGCUAGCUAGAGUGUGGUAGGGGAGAUCGGAAUUCCUGGUGUAGCGGUGAAAUGCGCAGAUAUCAGGAGGAACACCGGUGGCGAAGGCGGAUCUCUGGGCCAUUACUGACGCUGAGGAGCGAAAGCGUGGGGAGCGAACAGG
rnacentral:rRNA from 1 species